AUCGUGAUGAUAUAAGGGUGGUAAUCUGCCUCCUGACCUUGGUCGUACUUCUGCUGCAGUUGCAUAUCUUCGAAGCAAACGACUUCCUGCUGCUGCCGGUCCCGAAGAACCAAGCCCUCUCCAACAGUACAAUUAUUUCGAUUACCCUUCGACCCGCUCGGUUGUUGUGCAUGUUAACAGCGUGCAUAAACUUCGCGGUUGCACCUGUGCCUGGAGGCGUUGCGCCUUGGAGAAACCUCUUGGCCAUUCUGGACGCCGAUCUAACGUCAUCGCCGCAACCGCCCCAUUUGAAAGAGUUUCUGGCAGACAACGUUCCAAAGGAGACAGAUGUCGCAGUGAAAGAUGAAGGUGAGAUCAAGGCAGAAGGUGAUGGAGGCUCCCUUCGUGGUGGUGUGGCACAGGAACAUGCUGCAAGACUGCCCAGAGCGCAUCCUCUCGCUAACCUCCAAACUGCAGCUGCUGCUGACAUUGCAUACACGAAUGCUUGUUCCCUGGUUCCUAUUAUAAGAAAACGAAACAUUUUCCUUAAAUUUUUCAUUUCUUUUUUACUUUUUAUUAUUACAUUAAGUUAAUGAAGUAUAAUUUUUUAAUUAUUUGAAUAAAAAAAAUGAAAUUAAA